AUGGCCCUACAUCAAGGCCAGCACUUUGUUGUAGCUGCUGGUUUCAAACAAGAGCCUAAAGAGAAGUCUUUCUAGGGUCUGUUGGCUAUUUCAGAACUUAGGAUAUUAAUGAUCAAUUCAUUAGAAAGAAAUAGCU
ensembl:snoRNA small nucleolar RNA SNORA2/SNORA34 family